AGUGGAGAUGGACGUGAAUGGGUGGAUAUGUGCACAUAAAGGGUGACAGAAGGAAAAAUCCGAAUGAGUCCUGGGAUGUGAGUUCGUUCUGGUUAUGAUUAUGUUCAGGGAAGCAAAAGGACAGGAAAAGUGAUAGGACAGCAUGUGAGGGCUGCAAAUGGAAGACAUAGUUGUCUGCAUCCCCCUGUAAAAUUCUCUGAACGAGGCAGAGUGAAUGCACCAUAAAAGCCUCACCUGGAAGUGGGCAUAGCCUUACAUCAACCAAUUCUGUGGAAGAAACUUAUGGAAAUACUUUUCACUAUCCAGCACAAUAGAUGAAUUCUGGAUGACCUCAAGCUAUGUGUGUGGGAAGAAACAGCAAGCGGGGAGAAAAAAGUCCAAGAAAGAACUGAGAUUGUCUCUGUGACUGUGACACUGUGCUCCACCCACUUCCUACGCACCCUGCCUAUUUUAUAAAUAAAUGCAAAUAAUAGAAAACUUGCUUUCAACAAAGAAAUCAAACUCAGAUCGAUGAGGAAAUUGGAUGGAACUGACAUGCAAAACUGCCAUGGACCAAAGAUAGGUGGAUUCUUUGGUUCCUAGCCUGGAGUGAGUUAGGACCAGGAUCUGGGAGUCAAGCCUGAGGAGCAUUCAGGAUCAGAGAACAAGCCAGAAGCAAUACAAGACAUUCCAGAGCUCAGAUAGAUCUUGUUGAAUAAAUGAAGCUCCUUGAGGGAACCUUCCUUCCUGCCCAGGAGGACACCACAGCCAGCCUCGGGGGAGCCAGUCUGGCAGGUUCUUCACUGAGUGGCUGUGGUGAUGCGGCUCACUGGCAGGGGCAGUUCCUGUCAUAUAGGGCUGUUCUCACAGGAUCUCUGGAUCUUCAGGUCAAGAAGGCAGUGAAGCUGAGAGACAUAUAGGCAUUUUUUAAAUCAGUGGGUCUAGGCCAACACUCUAACUGUUCACCACAUUGGUUCUCUUGGUGUCCUUUGGUAAGUCGCACUAACAAGGCUUCUAGAAUACUUUCUCAAUGACUGAGCAGUGGGUCUCAGUUCAUCUGCAGUGGUCAAAAGAAUUGAAUUGGUUAAGAAUACUCCAGCUAGGCAUACUG